UCGAGGGGUAACNGGAGUAGCUUGCUAUUUGCUGACGACCGGCGCACGGGUGCGUAACGCGUAUAGAAUCUACCUUAUACUGGGGGAUAGCCUUUGGAAACGAAGAUUAAUACCCCAUAGUAUUAUUUUUUGGCAUCAUUAAAUAAUUAAAGUUUCGGCGGUAUAAGAUGACUAUGCGUUCUAUUAGUUAGUUGGUAAGGUAACGGCUUACCAAGACUUCGAUAGAUAGGGGUCCUGAGAGGGAGAUCCCCCACACUGGUACUGAGACACGGACCAGACUNCUACGGGAGGCAGCAGUGAGGAAUAUUGGACAAUGGAGGCAACUCUGAUCCAGCCAUGCCGCGUGUAGGAAGACUGCCCUAUGGGUUGUAAACUACUUUUAUAUGGGAAGAAUAAGAUCUACGUGUAGAUUGAUGACGGUACCAUAAGAAUAAGCACCGGCUAACUCCGUGCCAGCAGCCGCGGUAAUACGGAGGGUGCAAGCGUUAUCCGGAAUCAUUGGGUUUAAAGGGUCCGUAGGCGGGCAUAUAAGUCAGUGGUGAAAGUCUGUGGCUUAACCAUAGAAUUGCCAUUGAUACUGUAUGUCUUGAAUUAUUGUGAAGUGGUUAGAAUAUGUAGUGUAGCGGUGAAAUGCUUAGAGAUUACAUAGAAUACCGAUUGCGAAGGCAGAUCACUAACAAUAUAUUGACGCUGAUGGACGAAAGCGUAGGUAGCGAACAGGAUUAGAUACCCUGGUAGUCUACGCCGUANACGAUGGAUACUAGUUGUUUGGUUUUCGGACUGAGUGACUAAGCGAAAGUGAUAAGUAUCCCACCUGGGGAGUACGUUCGCAAGAAUGAAACUCAAAGGAAUUGACGGGGGCCCGCACAAGCGGUGGAGCAUGUGGUUUAAUUCGAUGAUACGCGAGGAACCUUACCAGGGCUUAAAUGUAGUCUGACAGCUUUAGAGAUAGAGUUUUCUUCGGACAGAUUACAAGGUGCUGCAUGGUUGUCGUCAGCUCGUGCCGUGAGGUGUCAGGUUAAGUCCUAUAACGAGCGCAACCCCUGUGGUUAGUUGCCAGCGAGUAAUGUCGGGAACUCUAGCCAGACNGCCGGUGCAAACCGUGAGGAAGGUGGGGAUGACGUCAAAUCAUCACGGCCCUUACGUCCUGGGCCACACACGUGCUACAAUGGUAGGGACAGAGAGCAGCCACUUAGCGAUAAGGAGCGAAUCUAUAAACCCUAUCUCAGUUCGGAUUGGAGUCUGCAACUCGACUCCAUGAAGCUGGAAUCGCUAGUAAUCGGAUAUCAGCCAUGAUCCGGUGAAUACGUUCCCGGGCCUUGUACACACCGCCCGUCAAGCCAUGGAAGCUGGGGGUACCUGAAGUCCGUCACCGUAAGGAGCG
rnacentral:rRNA from 1 species